GCCAGCCUCAAUUGUGCUUUUCUUAGCUGUGUACUUAAACGUACUACAACGGCUGAUAUUGUGCCAGAAACGUGAAGCAUUCGUACACUCAAUAUAAGGACUUGUUAGGUCUCAAACUAGAUUCAUGGAGGAAAUUUAACCUUCUUCAACUCUUAAGUUAUUAGUUCUCUCAUCUUGGGCUAUCUUAUGUGCUUUCUCUAUAUGAUGACAAAGUCAGAAAUGUUUGGGCCCUAUGUCGAUCCAAGUUCUAUAAGGAAUGGUAAAUGGAGUAUUACAUGUUAAACCAUCAGUAAUAGUCCUUAAGGAGAAUUCAUCAAUGCCAUCACAUGCCCCUAAAUGUGUCGAAGAAAUUUUUGAAAUGGUGGUACCUACUAUUAGAAGAGUGCAGAACAAAAUUGUAUUCCCAACACCCAAUAACCCUAAUUACAAAAUUACUAAUUGGGUUUUGCAUCCUAUAGACCAUUGGGUAAUAUCAAUUUUAGGUCAAGGGCAAGCGAUGCGACACUCCACAUCAAAUGGUGAACACCAGGGAUACACUGAAUUUGUUGUCAACUUGUUUCACAAGGGGGAGUUGUGCGAACAUGCAUCUUAUCAAAGAAGUGGAGAUACAAAUGGGUUACUCUUCCAGAACUUGUAUUCAAAUUUUACCUCGGAUAUGAAGAGAAUUGUCUCCUGACUCCACAAGAAUUUGUCUCUCCACUUCAAAAGCUCCAUAGGCAGGAAACCAUGCACUGGUUAGGGAGGAUUUGAGCCCUCUCUUUUUGGGAAAGUGGUGUUCCAUUCAGCAUCGAUGAUCUCGUAUCUGAUGAACAGUCAAGAAGUAAUAAAGUUGACUGCCGUAGGGACACUCUGGUGCCUCCGGUUCGAUCCAAGGUACCAAGGGCGGUGGAGGAGGAUGAGAAACUAACUUUCAAAAUAAGAUUUGAGGAAUUUCCUUAUCUUUAUCAUAGAAAAAAGUAAAUUUUGUUAGAAUAAAUAAAUUAGAUAUCUCCUUUUCAUGUUUAGCAUAUCCUCUAUUCCAUGGACUUGUUUUGCUAAUUCUGUUAUUGUAUUAUGCAGUUCUACUACAAUACACUCUUCAAAAACAGUUUCGUUCCCUGGAGGAAGUAGCAGAAUAUAUUGAAACAGGGGCAACUCCAAAUUGUCAGACAAAUAGUGAGGCAGGCCCUGCCAGCUUCAUGAAGAAGCGUCCCAGGACCACCACAUGGCCCACAAUGUUGAUCAAGGCCCAAGGAACUCCAAAACCAGCCGGAUUUGUGGAGUCUUCAAAUCAAUAGUGGAUGAUGAUGUGGCAAACAUUCUCAAAGAAAUUCCCUUGGAUAAGAAUUUUUUUCUCUAGAGUCUUCUUCUUGGAACAAGUAUCAAUACCUUGGGGCAAGUUUCUAUGUAUUGGAUUAUUAAGCUAUUCAUGUUUUUUCUUUUUAUUUUCUCAAUCUGCAAUCCUCUAGGAUUAUAAGGGAUGGUUGAAAUCAUUUUGAUGCUUUCAAGGAUUGUAAGGCCUAUAAAAAGGCAUGAAAAUCGUCUGCAGCUACACCGGAUGGUUAGGAGCCCCUUGGGACAUGUCUCCGGAUGCUCACUGCACCUCACCGUUCACUGUAGACAAUUUCAACCCUAUACAAAGGGAGUCAAAUCUCGUUGUAAAAAAAAAAUUAACUUUGAUAUAUAUAUACUCACAAUUGUGCCA